rnacentral:lncRNA from 1 species
UAACCAGCGACUGGUCCUCUCUAACUGUAUUUAUUAAGGGUAACAAUGUUUGUGGGCUUCUCUGCACAACACCACGCUACGGAUCACAACAUCCUCUGACUCAAUCAACUUGGCUAAAUGGCAGAUUCGUUGCCUCCUAACACUAAAUAUGACAUUGAUGAGAGUGAUGACGCAAAGUGGAGUUGCUCUGAUUGAAGUACGGUUUCUUAUUUCUUUUGAAGGAGACGUAGAAACAUCACCUGUACAGUAAAAAAAGAAUCUGUUUGUUAUGUUUAAACUACGACAGGUGAUCUGCCGAUCAACUAAUUGGAAAUUUGAUCGCUGUCCGGAAAGAGAUGUACACUUACUUCGAUAAAUAUCUAAUCUGGUAUAUAGUAUCAAAGUACUGUACUUUCUUCUUCUUAUGCAUUAUUUUUGAAGUACCGAAUUAUAAUGAAAGCCAUCAUAAUAAUGUUCAGAAGACUAUUCUCAAAAUUCUGAAUUUAUGUGAUUCGUCCGAAGAGUGCCGAUUUAUUAUAAUAAAUCUAUAUAUAAAAUAUUAAUUCAUAAAAAAAAAAACUGUAAACGAUAGUUCAGAUUAUUAAUAAAU